rnacentral:rRNA from 1 species
AGUGGUGGAAGAAAAAAUAAACAUGAUUCUUUUAGUAAUGGCGAAUGAACAAAGACAUGGUCAUUUUGAAAAUUGUGGUCUUAGAUCAUGAAUUGUAUUUUCAAAAUGCAUUGCUAACACAACUGCACAUGUUUGUUUAUUGGAAAGAACAUCACAAAGGGUGACAAUCCCAUGUGUCAUGUGUAUGUUUUGUGUACAGUGUGCAUUAUAUGAAUCACAUUCAUUGACAAUUGAAUGCAAAUAGAAUGGUAAAUUUCAUUUAAUCAUAAAUAUGUUGUUGACAACUUAUAGCAAACAAAUACCAUGAGGGAAAUGUGAAAAGGAUUUUGAAAAGAAAAUUAAAAGAGCUUGCAAUUGCUGAACUGAUAAGCAAACAAAACAUACGUGUGUAUGCAAGAUUGUUGUAAUGCUUAGCAUCUUUUGCAAGGCUAUUGCAAUGAUUUUUUGUAUAGUGAUGCUACCUUUUUUUAGAAUUUGGAAUGUCUUUUUUUGAGUGUGAAUGGAAUUUUGUUUGUUAGCAAAGGAAUGCACUUUUAGAUUCAUUGUUUGAUUUGAUUUAAAAAUGUUUGUGACACAUGUCUUUGUGUUAGUUUCAUGAUUCAACCAAGGACAUUGUGUUUGAUCCAUGUCAGCAAUACAUGUUUUGUUUGACCCGUCUUGAAACACGGACCAAGGAGUUUAAUUUAUGUGCAAGAUCAUGAAACUGACAUUUGUAUAUCAAUGAAAAUAUUUUGUUGGGAUUUGUGCACCAACAACUGAUAAGUUGUGUGACGCGACGUUGAGUUUGAGCAUGUUGAUUAAAACCCGAAAGAUGGUGAACUAUGCCUGAACAGAAUGAAGUCAGAGGAAACUCUGAUGGAAGUUCGUAUCGAUACUGACGUGCAAAUCGUUCGUCAUACUUGGGUAUAGG